AAUAACAACGUGAACAAUGGCCAAUAUCGCUCUGUUCACAGUAAAGUUCAAAUCAUUUAUUUGUGUGAUUAAAAUUAGUUUGAAAUUGCAGAGAUUGACGAGAAUAGUCAAUUUGGUAAGAAGAAGAAGAUUCUUCACCUGAGCCACCGACAUUGAAGAGGAAUACCAAACGAAAAUCAUCAAAGUGGAGGUAGCAGAACUCGGAUCUCUCGAUGUGCUUCGGUGAAGAGCAGCUGAAGGUGUUACGGUAUGAACUGAAGCUGUCUCGUUCGUGCUUAGCAAAGUCUCAUCACGGCCAUCCGCCAGCGCCUGAGGAAAAUGAAACCUGAAACGAAAUUAAACCUACCAGUUCACUGAUCACAUCCCAUCUCCAAAAGGAAGAACUGCAUUGCCACAAGGUUAACGUUCUACGAUAGCCUUGCAAACAACGUAAAACCCCAAACAAAAUUAUCGACGUCAUGAAAAUAUUUUAGUAGUACGAAUCAACAACCGACUCAAGUUAAGUUGCGGAACUGUACAUUGAAAAACACAUAAUAAGGACAAGUUAAUCCAAAUUGGGGCAGCUGAUUGGUGACGUCCGAGGCAGAUCCGGUUACGGAAUUAUUAUGCAGACUGCUGCAUUCUCUACAUGGCCACCUCCUAAUGCCGACGGGCCAGCUGGUUCCAAGUGAAGAAUAAAUAAGUCUCUGUCUGACUUUAUUUUGUUGUGUUGGAAAACGGCUCAAAUAUUCCGAUCAAAGAUUGGGAAACCGCAAAACCGGGAACAAAUUUAAACAGGGUUUACACAAUUGCUUCGGUGUUGGAAGUGUUUAGAGCAGCGUGGCCACGAUGUAUCGCCGACAAGUAAAUCACGACCAAGAUCACAUAUCUGCUAAACGAUUUGGCCCAGUGGUGACUGAAUUUUUAUUCAGACGGACGAGUUGCAGUUAAGUGAUCGAACAAUACGCAUUAUAAGGUAAUUAAGAAUUAUCUAUUAGCGUGUCUCGGCCGUUUCCGCUGAUACUGUGCCAAUCCUAUGCCGGCUGGUGUUGUGAGCGAUGAAACAAUGACAUGAAUGAGGAAACCUCGUUACGGACAUCCGGAUUGUAUUUUACCGGAAGGUUCUUCCACUUGGCGGAAGCGCAACAUUAACAUUAAUAAUAGUUGCAGUUGUGGCAUCGGAUCGAACAAUACGCAUUAUAAGUGCUACCAGAGUGAUGCUACGUCAAAUUACUUUGACUCAGUCGAGAAACGAGAGAGUACGCAGUCGAGAAGACCAACUUAAAAAUCCUGAAGGGUGAUGGCUGAAACUGGAGAAUAAAUUAUAUUGAUCACAUCCUACUUCAAUCACAGCCCCAAUCGUUUAAGACACCUUAGGAUUCCGAUAAACUCGGAUAAACUCGCACUGAUUCAUCUGGAUGGAGCCAACUCAGCCGCAGUCUUUUAAGGAUUCCGAUAAAUUCCCACCGAAUCAUCUGGAUGUCCUAUCCAGGUCACACAUGGGGCCCUAUUUAAGCAAAGGAUGUCACAAUGGACACGGCACAUCCUCCAUAACCAAAAAAGAAUUGGAUGAAAAGGUGCACAGCAUAUAAACGCAUUUGAUUUGUUAUAUAAAGAAGUCAAUGUACUACCGACAAUCUUAAAGUCUUGAAGGUUUAAAAACCUGAUUGCAAACUGCAUGGACGCACACAAGUUGAGGCGGAGGCCACAGCUAUAAAGACGCG
rnacentral:lncRNA from 1 species